UUUUAAAUUUAGAGUUUGAUCCUGGCUCAGGACGAACGCUGGCGGCGUGCUUAACACAUGCAAGUCGAGCGAUGAAACUUCCUUCGGGAAGUGGAUUAGCGGCGGACGGGUGAGUAACACGUGGGUAACCUGCCUCAAAGUGGGGGAUAGCCUUCCGAAAGGAAGAUUAAUACCGCAUAAUAUGAGAGAAUCGCAUGAUUUUCUUAUCAAAGAUUUAUUGCUUUGAGAUGGACCCGCGGCGCAUUAGCUAGUUGGUAAGGUAACGGCUUACCAAGGCAACGAUGCGUAGCCGACCUGAGAGGGUGAUCGGCCACAUUGGAACUGAGACACGGUCCAGACUCCUACGGGAGGCAGCAGUGGGGAAUAUUGCGCAAUGGGGGAAACCCUGACGCAGCAACGCCGCGUGGGUGAUGAAGGUCUUCGGAUUGUAAAGCCCUGUUUUCUAGGACGAUAAUGACGGUACUAGAGGAGGAAGCCACGGCUAACUACGUGCCAGCAGCCGCGGUAAUACGUAGGUGGCGAGCGUUGUCCGGAUUUACUGGGCGUAAAGGGUGCGUAGGCGGAUGUUUAAGUGGGAUGUGAAAUCCCCGGGCUUAACCUGGGGGCUGCAUUCCAAACUGGAUAUCUAGAGUGCAGGAGAGGAAAGCGGAAUUCCUAGUGUAGCGGUGAAAUGCGUAGAGAUUAGGAAGAACACCAGUGGCGAAGGCGGCUUUCUGGACUGUAACUGACGCUGAGGCACGAAAGCGUGGGUAGCAAACAGGAUUAGAUACCCUGGUAGUCCACGCCGUAAACGAUGGAUACUAGGUGUAGGGGGUAUCAACUCCCCCUGUGCCGCAGUUAACACAAUAAGUAUCCCGCCUGGGGAGUACGGUCGCAAGAUUAAAACUCAAAGGAAUUGACGGGGGCCCGCACAAGCAGCGGAGCAUGUGGUUUAAUUCGAAGCAACGCGAAGAACCUUACCUGGACUUGACAUCCCUUGCAUAGCCUAGAGAUAGGUGAAGCCCUUCGGGGCAAGGAGACAGGUGGUGCAUGGUUGUCGUCAGCUCGUGUCGUGAGAUGUUAGGUUAAGUCCUGCAACGAGCGCAACCCUUGUUAUUAGUUGCUACCAUUAAGUUGAGCACUCUAAUGANNNNNNNNNNNNNNNNNNNNNNNNNNNNNNNNNNNNNNNNNNNNNNNNNNNNNNNNNNNNNNNNNNNNNNNNNAAAACCUAUCUCAGUUCGGAUUGUAGGCUGCAACUCGCCUACAUGAAGCUGGAGUUGCUAGUAAUCGCGAAUCAGAAUGUCGCGGUGAAUACGUUCCCGGGCCUUGUACACACCGCCCGUCACACCAUGAGAGCUGGUAACACCCGAAGUCCGUGAGGUAACCGUAAGGAACCAGCGGCCGAAGGUGGGAUUAGUGAUUGGGGUGAAGUCGUAACAAGGUAGCCGUAGGAGAACCUGCGGCUGGAUCACCUCCUUUCUAA
rnacentral:rRNA from 1 species